rnacentral:rRNA from 1 species
AUUGAACGCUGGCGGCAUGCCUAACACAUGCAAGUCGAACGGCAGCACAGCAGUAGCAAUACUGUGGGUGGCGAGUGGCGGACGGGUGAGGAAUACGUCGGAAUCUGCCCAGUCGUGGGGGAUAACUAGCCGAAAGGUUAGCUAAUACCGCAUACGACCGAGAGGUGAAAGCGGGGGACCGCAAGGCCUCGCGCGAUUGGAUGAGCCGACGUCGGAUUAGCUAGUUGGCGGGUAAAGGCCCACCAAGGCGACGAUCCGUAGCUGGUCUGAGAGGAUGAUCAGCCACACUGGAACUGAGACACGGUCCAGACUCCUACGGGAGGCAGCAGUGGGGAAUAUUGGACAAUGGGCGCAAGCCUGAUCCAGCAAUGCCGCGUGUGUGAAGAAGGCCUUCGGGUUGUAAAGCACUUUAUCAGGAACGAAAGACGUUGGAUUAAUACUCUGACGUGCUGACGGUACCUGAGGAAUAAGACACCGGCUAACU